UUAGUAUCUCAGUGCCCGCCUCCUGCCGCGAUGGUGGGUCAGCGAUGUGUCAGUGUUAUUACUUGUACUAGCGAUCCUCCUCCUAUCUAGGAUUUAACUGAUGUUUUCUUACUAAAAGUAUUUUUUCAUGUUUUUAAAGUGAAUUGUAAUUGUCUCGUUGUCCAACAAAUAGUUUACUCAGCGAUAUCAAACUCGUGCCUCGAAGCUGUAGGAAUCCAGCCCAUUGGUCAAGAUUUGAGGUGGAACCCAGCCCUUUCUAAACUAAAAUAACACCAACAGCAGCCACACAACAACUUCACAACUGGUGGAAGCGGUGGCCCUACCGGGCCCAACCCGAGAAGAUGGGAACUACAAACGGUCAUUCUUCCAUGACCAAAGAUGCCCGCCAUGACAACUGCCCAAUAUGUCUCGAUACAAUUGGAGACAAGAAAACUUUAAAAUGUCGACAUUAUUUUUGCACUGAAUGUAUCGACUCGGUGUUCAGGUAUAAACCCGCCUGCCCAAUAUGCAAUACUUUCUAUGGUAUUCAUCAUGGAACACAAACCGCAAGGCACCAUGACGGUGACGCGGGCAGGCAAUGUUUACCUGGCUUGACAACUGCGGAAGUAUCGCUAUUGAAUACAGAUUUCCAGCAGGCAUUCAGGGGCCUGAGCAUCCAAACCCUGGAGCCAGGUAUGGCAGCACAUCUCGAACGGCGUUCCUGCCUGACUGUGAGGAGGGGCCAGAAGGUCCUCGCGGCUGCUACAAGUAGCCUUCGACCGGAGGCUCGUCUUCACCAUCGGACAGUCUGCCACCACCGGCCUCGACAACGUCAUCACCUGGGACGACGUCCACCACAAGACCAGCAUGGGAGGGGGUCCCAGAGAUUUGGCUAUCCAGACCCGGAGUACCUGUCCAGGGUUCGCUGGAGCUCCAGCUUAAAGGGGUGACGGAAGGUGACUAAGACCCACCGCAUCCCCGCAUUCAGGACCGUUUCGUAGAAUAUAAUAUACUGUAUUAUCUAUCUAUCUAUCUAUCUAUCUAUCUAUCUAUCUAUCUAUCUAUCUAUCUAUCUAUCUAUCUAUCUAUCUAUCUAUCUUUCUAUCUAUCUAAAUCAUCAGUGUUGAACAAAAUGUACAAACAAAUAUAAUGUUCCGUUUAUAUUGAAAACGUGGAUACCAUUGGUUCUCUUAUAUCGUUACUAGAUAGGGUAAAUGUUAUUUAGCUGCACAUUUAAACCCCUGGCAUUUUUUUUAUUUGACCACAAGAGGUCGCUGUACUCUUAAAUACUGACCGUUACAGCGGCGGCUAAAUAUGAAGCAACGCCAUCGCCUCUGUCUCACGAUCCCCUCCCCAUCGCUCAUAUCCCAAAGUCGGUAAGAGGAGCAGAGCAUCAGCUACAGACGAUGAGUCAUGUUUUAGGGUUCUCAGGGCACUUUAGCCGCAGCAGCUACAUCGGAGCUGACAGCGGUUAACACAGCCUUUGUUCAUUUCAAUUAAAUUAUUUGUGCAAUAUUGUAUAUAAAACAUUUAUGUGUGAUGUAUAUGUUAUAAAGAUCUCGACCAUACGUAAAAUGUAUACUCAAACAUAGUAUGCAAUUGUUAAGCACACUGAUCAAUUAAACACCUGAUACAUAGAUA